rnacentral:rRNA from 1 species
UACCAUGCAGUCGAGCGCCCCGCAAGGGGAGCGGCAGACGGGUGAGUAACGCGUGGGAAUCUACCCUUUUCUACGGAAUAACGCAGGGAAACUUGUGCUAAUACCGUAUGAGCCCUUCGGGGGAAAGAUUUAUCGGGAAAGGAUGAGCCCGCGUUGGAUUAGCUAGUUGGUGGGGUAAAGGCCUACCAAGGCGACGAUCCAUAGCUGGUCUGAGAGGAUGAUCAGCCACAUUGGGACUGAGACACGGCCCAAACUCCUACGGGAGGCAGCAGUGGGGAAUAUUGGACAAUGGGCGCAAGCCUGAUCCACCCAUGCCGCGUGAGUGAUGAAGGCCCUAGGGUUGUAAAUCUCUUUCACCGGUGAAGAUAAUGACGGUCACCGGAGAAGAAGCCCCGGCUAAUUUCGUGCCAGCAGCCGCGAAAAUACGAGGGGGGCCAGCGUUGUU